CUAAGAGAAUGGAAGUCCAGAAAAAAACUUUUUUUAAAUUAAAAAUUGAAGUUUUUUUAAUUUGUGCAGAAACAAUUAUUUAUAUUAAAGACAAGAAGACCCUAUGAAUUUAUUAAAUUUUUAUUUAAUACGUAAUUACUAUUAGAAAAAUUUUGGCUGGGGCGGCUAGAAAAUAUUAUAAACUUUUUAAAAAUAAAAUGAUCCAUUAUUAAUGAUUUUAUGUUAAAUACUCUAGGGAUAACAGCGUUAUAUUUUUUGAUAGAUCAUAUUGACAAAAAAGUUUGCGACCUCGAUGUUGGAUUAGGAUACUUUUUUAAUGAAGAUAUUAAAAAAAGAAGUUUGUUCAACUUUUAAUUUCCUACAUGAUCUGA
rnacentral:rRNA from 1 species